GAUGAACGCUGGCGGCGUGCUUAACACAUGCAAGUCGAACGAAGCACUUUAUUUGAUUUCCUUCGGGACUGAUUAUUUUGUGACUGAGCGGCGGACGGGUGAGUAACGCGUGGGUAACCUGCCUUGUACAGGGGGAUAACAGUUGGAAACGGCUGCUAAUACCGCAUAAGCGCACAGCAUCGCAUGAUGCAGUGUGAAAAACUCCGGUGGUAUAAGAUGGACCCGCGUUGGAUUAGCUAGUUGGUGAGGUAACGGCCCACCAAGGCGACGAUCCAUAGCCGACCUGAGAGGGUGACCGGCCACAUUGGGACUGAGACACGGCCCAAACUCCUACGGGAGGCAGCAGUGGGGAAUAUUGCACAAUGGGCGAAAGCCUGAUGCAGCGACGCCGCGUGAGCGAAGAAGUAUUUCGGUAUGUAAAGCUCUAUCAGCAGGGAAGAUAAUGACGGUACCUGACGAAGAAGCACCGGCUAAAUACGUG
rnacentral:rRNA from 1 species